UGCGCCUGCGCCGGCGAGUAGAAGCCCCGGAAAUCGGGGCUCGGGUUCGCCGGAACCGGUGCCUGCGGCUACUGCUUCCGGGUCGGAGCCAUGGCGGUGGCAAAUUCAAGCCCCGUCAAUCCCGUGGUGUUCUUUGAUGUCAGCAUCGGCGGCCAGGAGGUCGGCCGCAUGAAGAUCGAGCUCUUUGCAGACGUUGUGCCGAAGACGGCCGAGAAUUUUAGGCAGUUCUGCACUGGAGAAUUCAGAAAAGAUGGGGUUCCGAUAGGAUACAAAGGGAGCACCUUCCACAGGGUCAUAAAAGAUUUCAUGAUCCAGGGUGGGGAUUUUGUUAAUGGAGAUGGUACUGGAGUUGCCAGUAUUUACCGGGGGCCAUUUGCAGAUGAAAAUUUUAAACUUAGACACUCAGCUCCAGGCCUGCUUUCCAUGGCAAACAGUGGUCCCAGUACAAAUGGCUGCCAGUUCUUCAUCACCUGUUCUAAAUGUGAUUGGCUGGAUGGGAAGCACGUAGUGUUUGGAAAGAUCAUUGAUGGACUUCUAGUGAUGCGAAAGAUUGAGAAUGUUCCCACAGGCCCCAACAAUAAGCCCAAGCUACCUGUGGUAAUCUCACAGUGUGGGGAGAUGUAGUCCAGAGCAAGACUGAUCAUCAGGCACAGCAGCGGUGCCUUCCUGGGUGCUGGCACAGUACUUGGUCCAUCUCCGUACGGCAUCUAACGUGGCACAUUACCCCUGUUGGCCUGGUCUUCUCUAGACAGAACUCCUUGAGGCAGGGACCACGCUGACUCACACAGCACCUGGUCUACAAUAGAGCUUAGGUCCUGGAGCACCAUGGGACGGACAAAGUGCAUACCUCCACCUCUGCCACCGGAGGCCUUCCCUUGCUCUGGGUGGCGCUUUGAGGGAGAUCAUCUGGAUUGGCCCCUGUGUUUGCUUCCCUGCCUGCUGCUGACCUUUCUGAUCAAGAGACCUUGGAAGUGUCACAGAUUCAGAACCCAAGACUGUUUACAUUUUCGAUUGUAAAUAAAGUUUUGUUUUGUUUUGUUA